UGGGGAAUAUUGCACAAUGGGCGCAAGCCUGAUGCAGCCAUGCCGCGUGUGUGAAGAAGGCCUUCGGGUUGUAAAGCACUUUCAGCGAGGAGGAAGGUGGUGAGCUUAAUACGCUCAUCAAUUGACGUUACUCGCAGAAGAAGCACCGGCUAACUCCGUGCCAGCAGCCGCGGUAAUACGGAGGGUGCAAGCGUUAAUCGGAAUUACUGGGCGUAAAGCGCACGCAGGCGGUUUGUUAAGUCAGAUGUGAAAUCCCCGGGCUCAACCUGGGAACUGCAUUUGAAACUGGCAAGCUAGAGUCUCGUAGAGGGGGGUAGAAUUCCAGGUGUAGCGGUGAAAUGCGUAGAGAUCUGGAGGAAUACCGGUGGCGAAGGCGGCCCCCUGGACGAAGACUGACGCUCAGGUGCGAAAGCGUGGGGCAGCAAACAGGAUUAGAUACCCUGGUAGUCCACGCUGUAAACGAUGUCGAUUUUGGAGGUUGUGCCCUUGAGGCGUGGCUUCCGGAGCUAACGCGUUAAAUCGACCGCCUGGGGAGU
rnacentral:rRNA from 1 species